UACGUAGGGGCCGAGCGUUGUCCGGAGUUAUUGGGCGUAAAGCGCGCGCAGGCGGCUUCGCGCGCCCGCCGUGAAAGCCCCCGGCUUAACCGGGGAGAGUCGGUGGGGACGGCGGAGCUUGAGGGCGGGAGAGGUCGGUGGAAUUCCCGGUGUAGUGGUGAAAUGCGUAGAGAUCGGGAGGAACACCUGUGGCGAAGGCGGCCGACUGGGCCGACCCUGACGCUGAGGCGCGAAGGCGUGGGGAGCAAACAGG
rnacentral:rRNA from 1 species